UUGUAUCACACUGACACUGUGUAGACAGCUGGAUGUUGUACCACUCUGACACUGUGUAGAUAGCUGAGUAUUAUAUCAUACUGACAUCUGUGUAGAUAGUUGAGUAUUAUACCACACUGUUCCUGGGAAUUAUGAACAAAUAUCUACCCAUCUAAGAUAUCCAAAGGAAGGAUACCACUGAGGUCCAACUUGAAGAACCAGUGUUUACUGGGGUUACUUGUAGGAGUGUGGGUGAGGGAUUACUCAAAGAAGCAGAAAUCAAAGACAGCUGUAUGACCAGAAGCCCAUCCAAAUAUAGAUGACAGCCCAGGAAAACUGGAACUGUAGAGCUCACAACACAACUUGAAGGCAGCUUGGCAGGCUAGAGAGUGUCUCUUCUAGGCAGAUCAACUAAUUAGAGUGUUAUUCAACAGUUCUUACUGUGUAUAUUAAACUGGGGAAGGAGGAGCUAAGUGAAUCUGGUCAGUUUUAGGGUCUUACUGAAGCUAUUGAGCUGUUCACUUCCUGAGCCUCAAUGAGCUUCCCUGCAGGGUGGAAUACUUCACCUCCCUAAAGAACAUCCUGCAUCUUAAAGAGUGUUCCUCUAAAUUAGAAUGUUUUAUCUAGGAUCAACUUGCUACAUAACUCUGUGAAAUAAGUGGAAUUAUCCUUUAAGCUUCAAGUUCUGCAGUACAGAAAAGGAUCAUUCAUUCAUUCAUGUAUGUACUUAUUGGGCCACAAGGAAUUACACCCAUGGUUUUGUGCACACUAGGCAAGAGCUCUGUAACUGAAAUAACAUCCUCAUCUCCCACUCCUUCACUUCCUGCUCUGUGUUAUGCUUAUUUUGAGAUAGGGUCUCCUAAAUUUCCUAGGGUGGCCCUGAACAUGUGGUCUUUCUGUCUCAUCCUUCCAAACAGAUGAUAUUCCAGUUGUGUCUCACCUUAUCCAGUUGUAGAUUGCUUUUUGGGAGAGAAGGAAUCAGCUGCAUACCUGCCAAGAACCGCAGCAAAAAGCAAAAACAAAAGCUGAAGAUGAACGAAGAUUUCAUCCAUUCAUUCUGAAACGUGUGCUGGACACUAACCAUGGGCCAUACACCAGUAGAUGCUGGUGAUUACUGGAGAGGAUGACAGAGUCUGUCCCCAGUCUCCUUAGCACAGACCACAGAGAAGAAAAAAAGCAGUCACAAAUACUGGUACAUCUCAGGUGCAGACUAACAGAAGUAGCCUUGAAAUCAUUGUAAAAUUAAGGAUGACCUAGAACUUCUGAUCCUCCUGCCUCCCCUUCCUAAGUGCUGGGAUCACAGCACCCUCAUCAACACCCUGGGAAGAGGAGACUGAGUGCAUGCUGACUCUGAUUUUGAGAAACAAGCACUUACAGUGGCUGCUAACUUGUCCUGACAUCCGAUUCAGUUUUGUACCUUCUAUCUUUUAUUUCCAGUAUUUCUUUUCCUGUUGUUGCCUGCCUGCCAUUUUCUCAUAUCCCCUUUGCAUACUUCUAGCCCUGCAGUAUGAUCUUUAAGAAAUUAUUCUGCAAAAUGUUUA